UUUCCGUAGGUGAACCAGCGGAGGGGUCAUUCAUGAUACGUGAUUUAUGAAACUUUUUUGAAUCUAUCUCUUCCUUCUGUGCCAUGUCAGGGUUGAUUUUUCUCUAGAGAGCAUCCGCCCCGAACAUCCCCUAUCUCUCAUCCCUUUGUCUGAACCUUAUUAUGACUAAAACAAUUUCAAAUACAACUUUCAACAACGGAUCUCUUGUCUCUCGCAUCGAUGACGCACGCAGCCGAUCGGAAGCGCACACGUCUGACAUCCAGUCAUGCAUAGUCCUCU
rnacentral:misc_RNA from 1 species